rnacentral:misc_RNA from 1 species
AAGUCGUAACAAGGUUUCCGUAGGUGAACCUGCGGAAGGAUCAUUAACACUUCGUUAAUACCGUAAAACCACAAUGUGAACUGUACGUCCCUGUUUUCACUGUGUUGCCUCAAUUGAUUUCGGUUGAUUGGAGUAGCCGUGCAGCAGACAAUACCCCCUACUAGUAGUUAUUAUCAGCUUCUAGGUAAUUCAUUUUACUGAUGAAGUUGCUAAUAAUGAACUAUUAACCAAUUUAACCCUAUAACUAAAACUUGACUAAACUUCAGAAACUUAAUCAACUACUUUAAUUAGUGGUCAAUUAAGCCUACGAAAUAACGAACAACUCUUAGCAAUGGAUGUCUUGGGUCGU